GGUAGCGAGAUCCUUCAAGACCUGCCCGUCUUGAAGGAGGACAUUGAUCGAAGGAUUCCAAAUCCUCGUAGUCCUCGCAGGUUCGACUCCUGCCGCUGCCA
rnacentral:tRNA from 1 species